rnacentral:rRNA from 1 species
AUGGAGGUCAAGGUGUUGAGCUCCAGGCUCGUCAAGCCUGCCUACACUGCCGGCGAAGCGCCGAUGCCGGCCACCGAGUACAUUGCGCUGUCCAUGUUCGACAGGGUGACGUUCGAGAUGCAGAUGGCCAUCAUCUACGCCUUCGCGCCGCCCGCGCCCACCACGGCCUCCAUCGAGAAGGGCCUUGCCACGGUCCUCGCCCAGUACCGCGCCUUCGCCGGGCAGCUCGGCGAGUCCCCCGACGGCACGCCGUCAGUCAUACUCAACGACCGUGGCGCGCGCCUGGUUGAGGCGACCGUGGACGCCGACCUCGUCGACAUGGCGCCCUCGAAGCCCACGCCGGAGCUGCUCAAGCUGCAUCCUGACCUGGAGGCGGAGCACCAGGAGGUCGUGCUGCUGCAGCUGACACGGUUCCGGUGCGGCUCGCUCGCAGUAGGGUUCACGUCCAACCACGUCGUCGCCGACGGCCAUGCCACCAGCAACUUCCUCGUGGCCUGGGGGCGCGCCACUAGAGGGCUCUCCAUGGGCCUCCCGCCCGUGCACCACCACAAAGACCUCUUCAAGCCACGGUCGUCCCCUCGCGUGGAGCACGACCACCGUAACAGGGAGUACUACCUGCCGUCGCCCACCGACGUGGUCGGUCACCACGGCGACGCCGCCGACAACAUCGUCAUCCACAAGGCGCACUUCACCAAGGACUUCAUCGCCGGUCUCCGCGCCAAGGCGUCAGAAGGGCGCGGCCGGCCGUUCAGCCGGUUCGAGACCAUCCUCGCCCACCUUUGGCGCACCAUGACGCGCGCGCGCGACCUGAGCCCCGAAGAGACCUCCAAGAUCCGGCUCUCCGUGGACGGACGGCACCGGCUGGGCCAGCCGGCGGAGUACUUCGGCAACAUGGUACUUUGGGCGUUCCCGCGCUCCAAGGUGGGCGACCUCCUGAACCGGCCGCUGAAGCACGCCGCCCAGGUGAUCCACGACGAGGUGGCGAGGGUGGACGGUGCCUACUUCCAAUCUUUUGUCGACUUCGCGAGCUCCGGCGCCGCCGAGAAGGAAGGGCUCGCGCGGAGCGCCGUCUGCAAGGACGCGCACUGCCCGGACGUGGAGGUGGACAGCUGGCUGACGUUCCCGUUCUACGAGCUGGACUUCGGUACGGGGAGCCCGAGCUACUUCAUGCCGGCAUACUUCCCCACGGAGGGGAUGCUUUUCCUCGCGCCGUCCAACUUCGGCGACGGCAGCGUCGAUGCCUUCGUCCCCGUCUUCGAGCACAAUCUACAGGCGUUCAAAGAAUGCUGCCACUCCAUGGAGUAG